CAAUCGUAUAGGAUAGUUGGUUCGAUCUAGUUUUCAAUUAGAGGCUGCAUGUAUUUAUAUUCCACUUCAGAUUACGUCAGGGAAUGAAAUCCCUAUUUACAAGUCUAUUCAAAAUUCAAAAUUACAACAGAAGAUAAAAAACUUAUCACAGAAACAACAAACAUUUAAAAGAGUUGUAAACUGAGCUAACUCUUUGUGGGUAAGAGUUUAGGUUGAUCACAACCUCCUGAAGUCGUGGGAACAGAAAUCAGACACGAACUUAAACUUGGUCUAACAAGCAUACGCCAUAUUAUAUCCACACUUGUUAUCGUACAUACCACAAAGCUGACAACAUAUUACGUAGCCCUCGCAAACCUUAGUUAUGUCAUCCGGGACACGACGCAAGUAGGGGCAUAAUGAAAUCCAGUGGCGACAAUGAAUGCAAAUUGGCCAGGUUGGAGUUGUAUCCUCUGAAUAGAUUGGAAUUCUCUUAUCUGAAGAAGCUGGAGUUGUAUCAUCUGGACAGAUUGGAAUUCUCCCCUUUGAAGAAACUGGAGUUGUGUCCUCCUCCACAAGUUUGAGGAUUCCUAGUUUUCGAAGAUGGAGUGGUUCUUUACGUUUCUUUGUUCAUUU
rnacentral:lncRNA from 1 species